GAGUUCGAUUAAGCCAUGCGAGUCGAGAGUCUUAGGGACUCGGCAGACCGCUCAGUAACACGUAGAUAACCUGCCCUUAGGAGGGGGAUAACCUCGGGAAACUGAGAAUAAUACCCCAUAGGUCUAGGAUGCUGGAAUGCUUCUAGGCUAAAAACUCAGGUGCCUAAGGAUGGGUCUGCGGCCUAUCAGGUAGUAGUGAGUGUAACGGACUCACUAGCCGACGACGGGUACGGGCCUUGAGAGAGGUUGCCCGGAGAUGGAAUCUGAGACACGAUUCCAGGCCCUACGGGGCGCAGCAGGCGCGAAAACUUCACACUGCGGGAAACCGCGAUGAGGGAACUCCAAGUGCUAAUACAAUGUAUUAGCUGUUUGUUAGCCUAAAAAGCUUCUAGAGUAAGGGCUGGGUAAGUCUGGUGCCAGCCGCCGCGGUAAUACCAGCAGCCCGAGUGGUGAUCGUUUUUAUUGGGCCUAAAGCGUCCGUAGCCGGUCUAGUAAAUCCUUGGAUAAAUCGUGCAGCUUAACUGUACGACUCCCGGGGAGACUGCUAGACUUGGGACUGGGAGAGGUCGGAGGUACUCCAGGGGUAGGGGUGAAAUCCUGUAAUCCUUGGGGGACCACCAGUGGCGAAGGCGUCCGACUAGAACGGGUCCGACGGUAAGGGACGAAGCCCUGGGGCGCGAACCGGAUUAGAUACCCGGGUAGUCCAGGGUGUAAACGCUGUGGGUUUGGUGUUGGGGGUCCUACGAGGGCGCUCAGUGCCGAAGAGAAGUUGUUAAACCCACCGCCUGGGGAGUACGGUCGCAAGACUGAAACUUAAAGGAAUUGCGGGGGAGCACAGCA
rnacentral:rRNA from 1 species